UACGUAGGUGGCAAGCGUUGUCCGGAAUUAUUGGGCGUAAAGCGCGCGCAGGCGGCCUUUUAAGUCUGAUGUGAAAGCCCACGGCUCAACCGUGGAAGGUCAUUGGAAACUGAAAGGCUUGAGUACAGAAGAGGAAAGCGGAAUUCCACGUGUAGCGGUGAAAUGCGUAGAGAUGUGGAGGAACACCUAUGGCGAAGGCAGCUCGCUGGGACGUUACUGACGCUGAGACGCGAAAGCGUGGGGAGCAAACAGG
rnacentral:rRNA from 1 species